GAGAGUUAGGAGCCGAGAAAGAGCGCGCUGCUGUAGGAAACCCGAAUGUCCACCAAUCGCGAGGCUCCUUCCCGAUUCCGACCAAUUGCUUGAGAGAGGUCUUACUACCAGUCUGGAAGCUACGCCAUGUGCACACGUGACUUGCGAGCGCUCACCGAAGUGCAACCCCAGGAGGUGUCAAAGUACGUGGGGCGUCUUGCCUGGGGAUAGGCUCUCCCAGUACUAACUUAUUACAGUCUCGCUACCGUGGAAAAGAGGGACCUGGUACCUUGUAGAGACGCCGCCAUAGAGACCGACUUAAGUUAAGAUUCGGCUUCCAGCACUCCGUAGCGGUGAGGCAGCCCCAUCUCCACCCCACUUUCGAACCUGUUUUCUACAGAACUAAGGCAAAGCGUUCUCUGGCAGUGUUGGGAAUUAAUUAAACUUUUUUUUUUCCUGCAAGUUUCCUAGCAGAAUUGCACACAGCAAGCAUGCAAUCAAUAAAAGGCACUAGAGCUUGUUCAUCGGUUGCUCUUUUCUCCAGUUUUGUUUACCUCAGACAACUAGUUGUUUAGGACAGCUUCUCAGCUUAGCUUCCUGCAUAACCUAUUCAGAUUUUUAUCAGUGAACCGUAAUGUGUGCUUGUCCACUAUAGCUCCACCUCUGAGUCAUAAUUAUCUCCUGCUUGCAAAGGUCUCAUAACCGAUCUCCCUGCCUCCAAACUUCAUAUCUUGAUACACUAUUUUAAAGUUCCUCUGCUCUCCACCCUAUGAUUGUGUGCACUCGGGAGCGCACUAGGGAACCUGGAGAUCACAGAUUAGACUAGGCUGGUGGACCCAGGAGCUCGAGAACCGUCUCUGUCUCUUGAGUGCUGGGAAUCCAGGACGUUGUUGUUGCAGUUGCUACAAUGGGCGGAAUUCAAGACCCCCUGUUUGUAUGGCAAGUAUGCCAAGAAGCCUGUUUGUCCUGCUGCCUUCAGAGAGACGAUGGAUCAGUCCGGAGUUCUCCUCUGGGUGAAGGCAGAACCUUUUCUUGUGGGUGCCUUGCAGGAGCCACCUCCGUCCAAAUUCAGCCUUCACUACCUUAGAAAGAUAGCCACCUAUGUGCGAACUCGGGCCACAGAGGGCGCCUACCCACACCUGUACUGGCCUACCUGGAGGCACAUUGCGUGCGGAAAGCUGCAGUUGGCUAAGGAUCUAGCGUGGCUUUACUUUGAAAUGUUUGAUAAUCUUUCUGUGAGGACACCUGAAGAACGCCUGGAAUGGUCUGAAAUUUUGUCCAACUGCGCAACCGAAGAGGAAGUUGAAAAGCAAAGAAGUCAGCUUUAUGUGGACACGCUGCAAUUCCUGCUCUUUCUGUAUAUCCAGCAGUUAAACAGGAUCUCUCUGCGGACAUCAUUGAUUGGGGAAGAAUGGCCCAGUCGCAGAAGCAGACCUCAGUCUCCUAGCCCGGCUGAAAGGCCCAGUUGUCACAAUAAGAAUUGGAAUGACUACAGUCACCAGGCUUUUGUCUGUAAUCAUCUGUCAGAGCUCCUCGAGCUGCUUCUAGACCCAGAGCAGCUCACUGCCUCCUUUCACUCGACCCACAGCAGUCUGCUCUCCCGGGAUGCUGUCACGGCGCUCAGCUUUCUCAUUGAAGGCACCGUGAGCAGAGCCAAGAAGGUCUAUCCCCUUCAUCAACUUGCACUGUGGCAACCACUGCACGUAGCAAGUGGCUUCUCAAAGAGCUCUAAGACUUUCUCUCUCUACAAGCUGGAAGCAUGGUUGAGGGCCUCUUUGACCACAAAUCCGUUUGGUCCAUCUGCUUGCCUCAAGUCUGGAAAGAAAUUGGCUUGGGCUCACCAAGUUGAAGGUUCGACCAAAAGAGCCAAGAUUGCUUGCAAUGCUCACAUGGCUCCUCGGUUGCACCGCAUCGUGGUGAUGAGCCAGGUUUACAAGCAGACACUGGCCAAGAGCUCAGAAACUCUAGUAGGAGCACAUGUCAGGGCUCAUCGCUGCAGUGAGUCUUUUAUAUAUCUGCUCUCCCCCUUACGAUCCAUGACAAUUGAAAAAUGCAGGAAUAGUACCUUUGUGUUGGGUCCUGUGGAGACGACUCUUCACCUACAUGACUGUGAGAAUCUAAAAGUCAUUGCUGUUUGCCACCGACUGUCCAUCUCUUCUACAACAAGCUGCACCUUUCACAUUAUGACACCUUCACGUCCACUUAUUCUCUCUGGAAACCAGACAGUAACUUUUGCCCCCUUUCAUACCCAUUACCCAAUGCUGGAGGACCACAUGGCCAGGACUGGCCUUGCUACAGUGCCUAACUAUUGGGAUAACCCGAUGGUGGUGUGCAAAGAAGGCUCUGUCACAAGUCUCUUCCGGCUCUUGCCUCCUUCUGAGUUCUACAUAUUUGUUAUUCCCUUUGAGAUGGAAGGGGACACAGCAGAGAUACCUGGGGGUCUCCCCUCUGCCUACCAGAAAGCACUGGCUCAAAGAGAAGAGAGCAUACAUAUCUGGCAGAAAACUGUGAAGGAGGCUCGUUUGACAAAGGAGCAGAGGAAGCAGUUCCAGGCCCUAGUGGAGAACAAGUUCUAUGAGUGGUUGGUUAGCACCGGACAUCGGCAGCAGCUGGACAGCCUUGUGCCCACUCCAGCAGCCUCCUGACAAGUGGCUGCAUAGGACCACAUGGAGCCACGGGGUCUUCCUAUGGAGUGCAGGCUGGCCUUGAACUUGUAACAGCCCUCCUGCCUCAGUGCCAUGUGCUGGGAUUGUAGGGCUCUGGAAACGUGAGGAGGAACGGAAGGUGAUGCCCCUGAAGCCUGUUGGAAAGGCAUCCUUGCUGCCUGCGAGACCUCAAGGCUUCUCUGUAUUCAAGACCUUUUGCUGGUUCCUGUUCUGUACUCACCUAGGUUGAACUUUAGCCAAACUUCUGACUUCAUAAAGCAUCUUACUGUAGAAGGUCAGGAGGUCACACGGCUGGGGCUGAAACGGAACACUGGGCACAGCAGCUCUGUGUGUAAGUUAGUGUCUCAGUGACCAGUACAGGCUUCCCAGCUGACUCCACAUUUUAAUUUGUACGAUGAAAGGGUUUUGUCCUAGCUAAAAAAGUUAGCCAGGUGUGGUGGCACAUACUUGUAGUCCCAGGGCUCAGCAGGCAGAGGCAGGCAGAUCUCUGCAAGUUCCAGGCCAGCCUGCUCUACAUGGUGAGGAUCCUGUGUCUCAGAAACAAGCAAACAAGCACACACAAAAGAAAGGAAGGAAAAGAAAGAACAGUUGUGUGGUUCUUUGUAACUUGCUACUCUCUUUUUAAAAAGAGUGACAGAAUGGUCAGUUGGUGCAUAAAUAUGGCAGAGAUAGUUUUAUAAAACGGUACUUUAGGCCUUAACAUAUAAAACACAUGAAAUUGUAUAAAUUGUUUUAUUAUUUUCUGCUUUAAAUUUCAAUAAACUCUAAAAAGUAA